UUCCAGUACUCCAGUUGUCCACCACGUCCACAGAUCUGUUGACACCGCUCAUGUGCUCGCUUCUAAUUUUUACUCUUCGUAUCAAAUGACUUUCUAUUACAUGUACGUAAACGUUUACAUUCAUACGUAUUUGUAUAAAUUUGAGUGACGGAGGGAGUAAUUAGCUUCACUAAUUAAUCCUAAUGUGGAUGACUACCACUGCAUUUAGUGGAGAACACGCACGCUUCCCUUUUCGGACCAAGAGCAUUUUUUUACAAGGGGUAUCUUUGCGAUUUCUUAAUACUACUCCUACUGCACUUUUUUAUUCUCACAAGUUUUUUUUUUUGACAAACAGAGGGUUUCCUCUCCAGUUACAUUAAAGGAAACCAAGUAUCUCGCGGCUCACAAGUUACAG
rnacentral:lncRNA from 1 species